rnacentral:lncRNA from 1 species
UUCUCUUGAGCUCCACCUUGGUCUCUGUUUGGUCAUUACUGCCUGUGUGUGGUAAAAAUAAAAUGAUGGAAAGAGAGAAACACUAAGAUAAAAGAAGAGCUCUCUUUGCUUCUUUACCCUAAAAAUUUACCCUUAAUGCAGUAAAACCAUGUGCAUUACCCUUAAUGCAGUAAUGUGAGGAUUGCAUUUUGUUCCUGACUCAUUUCAAAGCCUUGCAGUGGAGUGGGCAGGGUGGGUGCAUCAGGAAGCCUUGAACUUCUAGAUCAGUGGUUCUAAAGUGGUGGGGGUGCAGGUGGGUGGAAGAAAGGUAUCAGAGUCAUGCAGAAAGUUAUUUUAAGAGAGAGUGUUUGUGUAUGAAUGUAUCUAUGUGGGGGGUGGGUAGAGGGUGGGUGCUGUAAAAACUUUCCAAGAAUUCUGAUAAACACCUGUCUUUCUCCUGACUGAAUGUCAUCUCCCUACAGAUGAGCAAGUAAGAACCAUAGGCAUGGUAUUGGGGGUUAAGAUCUAGGAGGUGGGAUGGUUCUGGUAGAUGACAAAGACUAGGAAGUGGGCUACUCGAGUGGAAUGGAGUUGAAAAUGAUUAGAAUAAAGGCCAGGAAAGAGUGAAGCUGGAGUCCUGGGUUUGUCCACUGCGGGAUGACUGAGGCAUAUAAUUUCUCCUUUAUCACCUGCAGCACUCUCUAGCACAAAGUACAUAGUGUGAAUUCAAUAAAUACUCUUAAUAGACUGUGUACAUUUCAGAAAAAUGUGUUACUUUUAAUUUUCAAUUAUGUGAG